rnacentral:rRNA from 1 species
GACGAACGUUGGCGGCGUGCUUAAUACAUGCAAGUCAACUGAAGCAGUGGUAGCAAUAUCGCUGUGGAGGUGGCGCACGGGUGAGUAACACGUAGGUAAUCUGCCUUCAGGUCUGGCAUAACUCCGGGAAACCGGGGCUAAUAGCAGAUGAUGCAGCGGCUCGACAUCGAGACAGUUGUUAAAGCUAUGGCGCCUGAAGAUGGGCCUGCGUCUGAUUAGCUAGUUGGCGGGGUAACGGCCCACCAAGGCAACGAUCAGUAGCUGGUCUGAGAGGAUGAUCAGCCACACUGGAACUGAGACACGGUCCAGACUCCUACGGGAGGCAGCAGUAAGGAAUAUUGCUCAAUGGGAGAAAUCCUGAAGCAGCAACGCCGCGUGAGGGACGAAGGGCUUUUGCUUGUAAACCUCUGUAGUGAGAGAAAAAAAUCCCAAUCUUUGGGACAUGAUGGUAUCUCAAAAGUAAGCCCCGGCUAACUACGUG